rnacentral:rRNA from 1 species
GACGAACGCUGGCGGCGUGCUUAACACAUGCAAGUCGAACGCUGAAGACCUGGCUUUUGUUGGGUUGGCUGAGUGGCGAACGGGUGAGUAACAAGUGGGUACCCUGCCCUCUUCUUCGGGUUAAAGCCCGGAAUCGGGUGCUAAUCCAGGCUAUUCACCGGCCUUCGCAUGGGGGUUGGUGUACGGGUUUGUUUUGGCGGGGGAUGGGCUCGCGGCCUAUCAGCGUGUUGGUGGGGUGAUGGCCUACCAAGGCUUUGACGGGUAGCCGGCCUGGGCGGCUGACCUGUCAGAUUGAGACUGAGAUACGGCACAGACACCUACGGGAGGCAGCAGUGGGGAAUAGUGCACAAGGAGCGAAAGCCUUAUGCAGCGACGCCGCGUGAGGGAUGGAGGCCAUCGGGUUGUAAACCUCUUUCGCUCAUGGUCAAGCCGCAACUGUGGGUUAUGGUGAGGGUAGUGGGUAAAGAAGCGCCGGCUAACUACGUG